GUAAAGUUAAUACAAGGUAACAGACUAACAGUAGAACAACUUCAGUUAAGGACACAAGAGCUAAUGUCCAACUCAGUGGCUGCAAUUCAAGAUUAUUGAACAAAGAAGAAGAAAUCCCAGCAUCCUGAUGCGCUGUUGGCUGCUGCAGAUCGCCCGUCAAAUAUUAUACUAUUUUGUUUAGUCUGUUGUUUAGCCAUGAGACUGCACUUCUUUGUUUAUAUUUGUAUUUUUGUACUUCGAUUAUUGUAUUUUGAUGUUAAUACUUGAUUUCCACGG
rnacentral:misc_RNA from 1 species